ensembl:lncRNA
AUGUCCUGCCAGUGGCAUGGAAGCAGUUCAAAGUGGGGAAGAGAGCAUCAUCCUAUUGGAAUUGGACACCUACACCCUCAUCUCUGGCUGGAUUUGUGGGUUCACAGCUAAACUCAAGCAUCCCAAGGAUGAAGCAUAUGUUCUGGCCAGCACACAGCAUCACAGAAGAUCGUGCCAAUAAAACCAGACCAGACACCACUCCACUCCCUCUCAGAUCCUCCUUGGGGGAGCAGUUGUCCCUGCCGCCUCCAAGUUCAGCUUGGUAUCUUUCUUUUAAAGUGAAAAUGUGAGUUACAAAAUAGAUCCAAAAUGAAUCUUUCUGAAAUUCUACUUUUUAUUUCAUUAUAUGUAAAGC